rnacentral:rRNA from 1 species
GGUGAGAGUGGCGAACGGGUGAGUAAUGCGUGACCGACCUGCCCCAUACACCGGAAUAGCUCCUGGAAACGGGUGGUAAUGCCGGAUGCUCCAGUUGAUCGCAUGGUCUUCUGGGAAAGCUUUCGCGGUAUGGGAUGGGGUCGCGUCCUAUCAGCUUGACGGCGGGGUAACGGCCCACCGUGGCUUCGACGGGUAGCCGAACUGAGAGGUUGAACGGCCACAUUGGGACUGAGACACGGCCCAAACUCCUACGGGAGGCAGCAUG